rnacentral:rRNA from 1 species
AGAGUUUGAUCCUGGCUCAGAGCGAACGCUGGCGGCAGGCCUAACACAUGCAAGUCGAGCGCCCCGCAAGGGGAGCGGCAGACGGGAGAGUAACACGUGGGAACGUGCCCUUCAGUUCGGAACAACCCAGGGAAACUUGGGCUGAUACCGGAUACGUCCGUAAGGAGAAAGAUUUAUCGCUGAAGGAUCGGCCCGCGUCUGAUUAGCUAGUUGGUGGGGUAAUGGCCCACCAAGGCGACGAUCAGUAGCUGGUCUGAGAGGAUGAUCAGCCUCACUGGGACUGAGACACGGCCCAGACUCCUACGGGAGGCAGCAGUGGGGAAUAUUGGACAAUGGGCGCAAGCCUGAUCCAGCCAUGCCGCGUGGAUGAUGACGGCCUUAGGGUUGUAAAGUCCUUUCGGCGGGGAAGAUAAUGACGGUACCCGCAGAAGAAGCCCCGGCUAACUUCGUGCCAGCAGCCGCGGUAAUACGAAGGGGGCUAGCGUUGCUCGGAAUCACUGGGCGUAAAGCGCACGUAGGCGGCUUUUUAAGUCAGGGGUGAAAUCCUGGAGCUCAACUCCAGAACUGCCUUUGAUACUGAGAAGCUUGAGUCCGGGAGAGGUGAGUGGAACUGCGAGUGUAGAGGUGAAAUUCGUAGAUAUUCGCAAGAACACCAGUGGCGAAGGCGGCUCACUGGCCCGGUACUGACGCUGAGGUGCGAAAGCGUGGGGAGCAAACAGGAUUAGAUACCCCCGUAGUCC